UUGCAGGUCACUGUAAAUCAUGCUUUUGAUCAAUUGAAUGAGAACCAGUGUUUUGCGAAGCUGAAUUAUUUUUAGGCUAGCCUUAUCUUUGAGGUACAGUUACUGUCCUGCAAACCACAGAAGGUUCUGGUCUUUGUUAGGGUUGUACUUUAGCAGAGUCAAGCUUGAUUCAAAACUUGCUGCUUGGAGCUUAAUUUGAGCUCUAUCAAUAACUAUUUAUCCAUGCAGGGGUGAAGGUACAUGCUACUAACACCCGGUUAUUUGUGCUAGUCCUAAAUUAGAUGAACCUAAACUCUCAUGGCAGAAUUUUAGGACUGUUGUGGAUUUAUGCCUUGGCUCGUGACUAAGGCCUUCAAUGAGAUUAUUUCUCCUUGGGAGAGGGCAUGUCCCCAUCUCUUACUCGAUAUGUUGGUCCAAGGGAAAGUUAACAACACUGUAACUUCCUUUUCUCGAUCCAAUAACAAAUCCGAAUAAAAUAUUUCAUA